rnacentral:lncRNA from 1 species
UGAGACUGUUUCUCUUCCGAAUUUCCUGCUGGGGGAACUUUGCCAAGAAGCCAAAAAUGGGGUGGGGGGGGCGGGAACCCAAACUCCUCAACCCCAAACUUCAAAUUUCAAGUCAGGGCAUGGAGGUGCUGUCAUGCAGUUAACCCAGGGCAUGCUGCUGCUGUGAUUUUCCCAGGAUGGCAGAGGAGUUGCUCCAAGCG